rnacentral:rRNA from 1 species
CAUGCAAGUCGAACGGGCACUUCGGUGCUAGUGGCAGACGGGUGAGUAACACGUGGGAACGUACCUUUCGGUUCGGAAUAAUUCAGGGAAACUUGGACUAAUACCGGAUACGCCCUUCGGGGGAAAGAUUUAUCGCCGAUAGAUCGGCCCGCGUCUGAUUAGCUAGUUGGUGAGGUAAUGGCUCACCAAGGCGACGAUCAGUAGCUGGUCUGAGAGGAUGAUCAGCCACAUUGGGACUGAGACACGGCCCAAACUCCUACGGGAGGCAGCAGUGGGGAAUAUUGGACAAUGGGCGCAAGCCUGAUCCAGCCAUGCCGCGUGUAGUGAUGAAGGCCUUAGGGUUGUAAAGCUCUUUUGUCCGGGAAGAUAAUGACU